UACGUAGGGACCAAGCGUUGUCCGGAAUUAUUGGGCGUAAAGAGCUCGUAGGCGGUCUGUCGCGUCUGCUGUGAAAACUCAGGGCUUAACCCUGAGCUUGCAGUGGGUACGGGCAGACUAGAGUGCGGUAGGGGAGACUGGAAUUCCUGGUGUAGCGGUGAAAUGCGCAGAUAUCAGGAGGAACACCGGUGGCGAAGGCGGGUCUCUGGGCCGAUACUGACGCUGAGGUGCGAAAGCGUGGGGAGCAAACAGG
rnacentral:rRNA from 1 species